rnacentral:tRNA from 1 species
AAACUUAGGCUAACCA